rnacentral:rRNA from 1 species
GAUGAACGCUGGCGGCGUGCCUAAUACAUGCAAGUCGAGCGAACAGACGAGGAGCUUGCUCCUCUGACGUUAGCGGCGGACGGGUGAGUAACACGUGGAUAACCUACCUAUAAGACUGGGAUAACUUCGGGAAACCGGAGCUAAUACCGGAUAACAUGUUGAACCGCAUGGUUUAACAGUGAAAGACGGUCUUGCUGUCACUUAUAGAUGGAUCCGCGCCGCAUUAGCUAGUUGGUAAGGUAACGGCUUACCAAGGCAACGAUGCGUAGCCGACCUGAGAGGGGGAUCGGCCACACUGGAACUGAGACACGGUCCAGACUCCUACGGGAGGCAGCAGUAGGGAAUCUUCCGCAAUGGGCGAAAGCCUGACGGAGCAACGCCGCGUGAGUGAAGAAGGUCUUCGGAUCGUAAAACUCUGUUAUUAGGGAAGAACAAAUGUGUAAGUAACUAUGCACGUCUUGUCGGUACCUAAUCAGAAAGCCACGGCUAACUACGUG